ensembl:lncRNA
GGAAAAGAGAAUGUAAUUUUAGAAUUCAUGUGGAUGGGAUGAGAAAAACUUCCAUUGUCUCUAAAACAUUUCUAUAUAUUAAUUUUAGAUCGAUGUUGAUGAGUCUGUUGCAUUACCAUAACUGGUCCAGUGAUUGAAGUUAUGUCCCCAAAGAUCUAACCCAGUAAAAUUAAUAGCUGCACACGUUGAGAGAGAGGGAGGAAGAGCGAGAGAGAGAACGAGAGAGAGAGAGGUUCAUGUUCUGUCAAUACAGGUUUGUCUUUUCUGCUCUAAUUCACCAGCAGCUGAACAACACGCAUCGAUACUCUCUCCCUCUCUCUUUCCACCACACACAUAUUCUCGCGCCGCAGCCGCCAGCUUUGCAUGCGUCCCUCCUCGCGCCAGCGGGUGGCCGCUUGGCUCCUUGGGCUGCCAUUGGGUAGAGGCAGGGAGGAAUGCGCGCGGCGCGGUCGCCUGGAGAUGAUCUCGUUUUGGUUGCUGUGCUGGAAGCUGUUGAGAGCUACAGCAGGGUUAAGAAGACCAGCAGCUGAACUAACAGACGGUAACCAAGGAAACCUUUCUGCCAGCAACAGUAACCCUGUGAACGACACUUCAAAUCCAGUACAGCAGAUGGAUCCCGUUGCCAUGGAGAUUAGCUCAUCCCCACCAAUGACAGACCUGGAAAGAGAAAACAUUGUUAGCUGGCACAGUGAAGAAGUCCAAGAACUCCAUUACCCAGAGGAUCCAGAGAUGCAGCAGCCAAUAAAAGACCAGCAGGAGGAAGAGGAGGCUGAAGCUGAUGGAGAAGAGUGUGACUAUCUUGUUUUUGAGAUUGGAGCAAAGGAAGAAAGGGACAGUGAUGGGGAAGAGAUGGAAAGAGAAGCACAGGAGGAAGGUGAUAAAGAUACAGGAAGAAGGGGAGAUGUAGACAGACAAAACGAGGCAGAAAGAGAGAACAUUGUAGAUCUAAGCUAUACAUGUGAAGGAAAAGAAGAGGAUGGAGAGAUGAUGGGAACAGUAGAAGCUGAUGCUGGGGCAGAGCCACUUAUCCCCUCUAAUGGGCCUUCAACCCCCUCACCUCCGGAACAGCUGAUGGAAACUAGAAUUUCAGAGAAUCUAAAGGUCACAGACCAAGACGACCUUGGCGACUGCCUCCAGGCCGAGCUUGCUGUUGUGUACUCGGACAGUGACACAGGGGACGACCAGUGGGCUUCCCUUACUGCCUGUGAUGUCUUACACCAGAAUGAUGGAGCUGUAGAACUUUCUGACAUCAUUUGUGAUGGAGAGAACAGAGAAGAGGGAGGAAGAAGAGAGGACAAGGAAAGAGACGAGACAGAGGAGCAAAAAGAGGAGGAAGUUGAGAGGAGUUGCAGAGAGGACGAUUUUGAUGAUCAGAUGACAUCGAGGACGGGCGUGCUCAUGAGAUCGCCUUCAUUUAGCUCGACAGCCAGUUCUACAGACCCUGACAAGAGGAUCCCUGUAGAUUUCUGUGUCCAACAAGACACCCUCAGUGAGAACGUCUCCACUGAGCACGUGGACUUUCUCUUGGCCCGCCAACAAUGGAGGAAAAUGGAGGAGGAGGUUCGAGGACAUCCCAUCCCUAAACCAGGCCUGAGAGCUCAGGGGAGCUUCCAGGGCACCCACUCUACAUUGUACCCACCGACCCGCAGUCCCCGGCUGAAACACAGGGAGAUCCAUUCACCAAUUCCUAAGGAGCCCCCACUCUCAUCCACCAUGUCCCCCAGCUCUGAGGACUCAGGUCUGGAUGACCUGUCAUACCGAAGCCCCCUGGAGGAGCCGGAGACAGCAGUAGAGAGAGAGAUCCGGCUGACUUUAGAGAGAGAGGCGCGACACCGCAGGGAGAGAGGGAUAGUGGCACAAGGCCUAACUAUUCCCAGGCCCUCCACCCUGCAGACCGGACGAGCUCCUCCCAGACCUCCAGCCUGUCGUACCCCAUCUUUAUCUGUCUCCCCGUCCCCUUCCUCCUCUUCUCCUCUUCCCAGAUCUGUGUACCAUGAGAUGACAGCCAACAAUGUCAUUAUUCUGGAGCCCGACUGCUCUGCCUCCACUUCCAGGAACCGCAUGCUUUCCACUGCUGGGGGCCCAUUAAGCCUGGACACUGUGUCAUCUGCCAAUGUCAUUGUUGUGGAAACCUCCAAUCUGAUCAUUCGCAGCGCUUCAGAAUUCUGUCUAAGCUCUGCUCCCGUGUCCAUUGAAGCCCAGGAAAGCACUUUCACAUCAAACCCAUUUUUCAAGCUGCGAUCUCUUAGUAGCCAGUCUCUGGUAGAGCAAGAGAUUCGGGUAGUAAGGCAGAGGGAAGAGGAGUGGAAGAGGCAGAGGGAGGAGAUGUGGAGACGGAGGAGGGAGGAUGAGUGGAGGAGAGGAAAAGAGAGGUAUGAUACCGUGUUGGUGUCUCCUAGCCUGAGUGAUGCCGUCAGUUUCAAUGUGCCAGAGGUUCCAGACAGAUGUGUCUCCUCUCCAUCAUCCCCCUCUAGGACCCGAAAAAUAGAACGAUCCAGUUUGUCGUGUGACCAUAAGUUUCCCCUGUCCCUCUCCUCAGUGCCGCAGCGACAGAACGCCAUGGCACAGCGAUGGGAGGCCUCCCUGUUAGCCAACCAGAAAAAAGAAUGA